rnacentral:rRNA from 1 species
UACAGAGGUCUCAAGCGUUGUUCGGAUUCAUUGGGCGUAAAGGGUGCGUAGGCGGCGCGGUAAGUCGGGUGUGAAAUCUCGGGGCUUAACUCCGAAACUGCAUUCGAUACUGCCGUGCUUGAGGACUGGAGAGGAGACUGGAAUUUACGGUGUAGCGGUGAAAUGCGUAGAUAUCGUAAGGAAGACCAGAGGCGAAGGCGGUUUCCUGGACAGUUACUGACGCUCAGGCACGAAAGCAUGGGGAGCAAAAGGG